AUGUCAGGAAAAGAAAUCAAAGUGAUUAUUACGUUUGCUAAGCAGACAGAACAGCAAGCCCAUCCUGUCAAAUUAUCGAAAAUAAUCGAGAAAGAGAUAGGAGUAGUGAAAGCUGUAUCUUGUCUUAGCAAUGGAAGAAUAAUGAUUAAAUGCAUGGAUCAGAAGCAGAAGGAAAAAAUAAUGACAAUGAAAAUGCUAGCAGGGGCGCCGAUAACGUGCACAGAAGUAGGCAAUAAAGUUCAAGGUGUUAUUUCGGGAGUACCCCUUAAUGUAAGUAUGGAUGAUAUCAAAGGCAGUCUGAGUGGAGGCGCAGUCAUUUCUGCUAGAAGGCUACAGAUGUGGAAAGACAAUAAAAAAUGUGAAAGCAUGAGCGUGAUGAUACAGUUUGAAGGGAUUAAUCUGCCGAUAAGAGUAAAACUAGGAUUUGUAAGCUUCUCAGUGAGAGAGUAUGUACCUCCGCCUUUAAGGUGCUUCAAAUGCCAACGCAUGGGUCAUACUGCUAGUGUCUGUAAAGGGAAAAUGCGUUGUGCAAAAUGUGGGGGAGAACAUGAUUAUGGAAAGUGUGAGGAGGGUGCAGAGAUAAAAUGUUGUAACUGCGGAGGAAGACACAGUGCAGCAUAUGCAGGAUGCCCAGUACAACAAGAAGCCCGUGAAGUACAAAAAAUAAAAACAGUACAACAUUUAACAUAUGCAGAAGCAACUCGAAAGGUGAAAGGUGCAGUAGAAACAAAAAGGACUAAUGUGCAAGGUACUAUGGCAGAAUCCUUUCCUCAGAAAGAUGUAAAUGAUGUGAGAAAUAAACCAGAUCAACAUGUUGUGAUGAACAAAAUUGAUUUUGUGGCUUUUAUUUGUGCGGUGGUUAAUGGUACCUCGCAAGUGGAAAGGAAAUCAGAUAAGAUAAAGAUUGUUGUUGGGUGUGCUAAUAAAUUUCUGAAGUUAGCAGGUGUUACAGCAGAGGAGGUCCAUGAGAUUUUGAAAGCUAAGGAGGGAAAUGUUGCUUUGGAUAUGACU
ensembl:lncRNA